rnacentral:rRNA from 1 species
UACGUAGGGGGCAAGCGUUGUCCGGAAUCAUUGGGCGUAAAGAGCGUGUAGGCGGCUCGGUAAGUCCGCUGUGAAAGUCCAGGGCUCAACCCUGGAAUGCCGGUGGAAACUGUCGAGCUAGAAUCCGGAAGAGGCGAGUGGAAUUCCUGGUGUAGCGGUGAAAUGCGCAGAUAUCAGGAAGAACACCCGUGGCUAAGGCGGCUCUCUAGUACGGUACUGACGCUGAGACGCGAAAGCGUGGGGAGCGAACAGG